CGGAGGGUGCAAGCGUUAUCCGGGAUUUAUUGGGUUUAAAGGGUCCGUAGGCGGACCGAUAAGUCAGUGGUGAAAUCUCAUAGCUUAACUAUGAAACUGCCGUUGAUACUGUCGGUCUUGAGUAAAUUAGAGGUAGCUGGAAUAAGUAGUGUAGCGGUGAAAUGCAUAGAUAUUACUUAGAACACCAAUUGCGAAGGCAGGUUACCAUGAUUUAACUGACGCUGAGGGACGAAAGCGUGGGGAGCGAACAGGAUU
rnacentral:rRNA from 1 species